UAAGGAAGACCCUGUACAAUGGAGUGCCUCCACUCCGUGGAGGAGUGUGGGGUACAGGGUGGCGAAGGCAAGAUCUGAAAGCAGCAACUAUACUAGAAGAUCAGGGACCAAGGUGAAUUUUCUUGAGAAGAGCCCCCAGCAACAAGUGCCAGCCCAGUAUUCCCAUGGGAAGUGAAUGGCGACAGGACAGACAGCUCCUUCCUUGAUAGUGGGGAAGACUGAGAUACACAUAUAAACAAAUAG